GAGGGGAUAGCUCAGUGGGGGAGUGCAUGCUUAGCAUGCAUGAGGUCCUGGGUUCAACCCCCAGUACCUCCA
rfam:Camelus ferus unplaced genomic scaffold scaffold434, whole genome shotgun sequence.